AAAAGUUUAAAAGUGAUUAUGAAAAUAAAUAUCAGCCAUACCAACACCACCCUAGUUCUGUGACUUUAAACUUUUUCUCGUUAUCUAGUCAAUUUUUCAUCUAUAUUCUUUUUAAAUCUUUAUUCUAAUAGAUAAUAAAAUUGAGAAUGGAAAUGGGGAAUGUGCCAAAGAGACAACAACCCGACCAUAGAGCAGACAACAGCAGAAGGUCACCAACAGGUCUUCAAUGCAACAAGAAAUUCUCGCACCCGGAGGCGUCCUUCAGCUGGACCCUAAACAAAUAUAUACUGGUUCAGUGAUAAUGAACACCAUACUAAACUCCAAAUUGUACACAAGAAACUAAAAGUUAAAAUGAUACAAGACUAACAAAGGCCAGAGGCUCCUGACUUGGGACAGGCGUAAAAAUGCGGCGGGAUACCUUUUCAAACCUUAAAACCAUAAAAUGCAAAAUAAAAAAAAUAGAAAAAAAAUUAAAAGAGAAAAUGUAUGUCAAUAAGUUAAUCAGUACUUUUAUAAUAAGAGAG
rnacentral:lncRNA from 1 species